GAUGAAGAACGUAGCGAAAUGCGAUAAGUAGUGUGAAUUGCAGAAUUCCGUGAAUCAUCGAAUCUUUGAACGCACAUUGCGCCCGCUGGUAUUCCGGCGGGCAUGCCUGUUCGAGCGUCAUUUCAACCCUCAAGCUCUCCGGAGUUUGGUGUUGGGGCGCCUGGGGCUUUUCGACCUCAGGGCCCUCAAGUCCAUCGGCGGGACCGCCAGGACACUGAGCGCAGUAGUAUUAUUUCGCUCGGUAGGAUCUUCCACGGCGGGUCGAUCUGGCCGCUAAACCCCCCAAUUCUCACCAAAGGUUGACCUCGGAUCAGGUAGGAAUACCCGCUGAACUUAAGCAUAUCAAUAAGCGGAGGA
rnacentral:misc_RNA from 1 species